UCCACCAGCCAUCUCACCCUGCAACUCCCAAGUGGCAGCCCACUGGAGCUCAGCAGGUGUGAGCCUGGUCAGUACCUGGAUGGGAGACCUCCUGGGAAAAACUUAGGUUGCUGCUGGAG
rnacentral:rRNA from 1 species